CUGACGACAACAGUGGGAAGACGGAAGAGGCUGAGUGAGAGAGCUCUGUGGAUGUAUACAGCCAAUAAUGGACAGUGGCAACAUAAAGAUUUGUUCAGAGUCACACUGCAGCAUUGGACUCCUUCAUGAUGUACGACAACUUAGUGCACUGUUACCGGAGGGAUACCAGUACACAGUGUGCGAAUACGCAGGUACAACUGAAGGCACAAAUGCUGUUCUACGAUUACAUGUCACAACUGAGGCCAUCGCCCGUACGUGGAUAAAAGAGUUUCAAGGAAAAACUAAAACUACUCUACGAACUCUAUCCAAGCAUAAAGUGACUGGUCAGAAAAGAGUCUUCCAGAUGCAUCUACGGUGUCACCACAACACCAAACCCAGG